GGUGACCAUGGAUCCGCACCACGACUAUACCAAGCGCUUGAUCGCUUCGGUGCCGGUACCCGACCCCAAGGUGGAAAUGGAACGCCGCGAGGAACGGCGGCGCCUGCGCAGGGCAGCGGCAAAAGCGGCAUAGAGACGAAAAGGCCGGGGAGACCCGGCCUUUUUCUU
rnacentral:sRNA from 1 species